rnacentral:tRNA from 1 species
GCCCCCAUAGCUCAGCAGGACAGAGCGCGCCGCUACGAACGGCGAGGUCCCAGGUUCGACUCCUGGUGGGGGCACCG